CCUUUCAAUGCCGCAGAAUUGGGAUGGUUGAGUAUCUCGCCUCUCCGUUCUGCCUGUAUUCUACCCUUGUUUGUCAUAUACUAUUAUUUCCUCGGCAGGCUUGCCUGCCGAGUGAAAACCAUUUAUAACCUUUUUAAUUUUCAAUCAGCGUCUGAAAAAAAUUAAUAAUUA
rnacentral:misc_RNA from 1 species